rnacentral:rRNA from 1 species
GAUGAACGCUGGCGGCGUGCCUAAUACAUGCAAGUCGAGCGAACAGAUGAGGAGCUUGCUCCUCUGACGUUAGCGGCGGACGGGUGAGUAACACGUGGAUAACCUACCUAUAAGACUGGGAUAACUUCGGGAAACCGGAGCUAAUACCGGAUAAUAUAUUGAACCGCAUGGUUCAAUAGUGAAAGACGGUUUUGCUGUCACUUAUAGAUGGAUCCGCGCCGCAUUAGCUAGUUGGUAAGGUAACGGCUUACCAAGGCAACGAUGCGUAGCCGACCUGAGAGGGUGAGCGGCACACUGGAACUGAGACCCGGUCCAGACUCCUACGGGAGGCAGAAGUAGGGAAACUUCCGCAGUGGGCGAAAGCCUGACGGAGCAACGCCGCGUGAGUGAUGAAGGUCUUCGGAUCGUAAAACGCUGUUAUUAGGGAAGAACAAAUGUGUAAGUAACUAUGCACGUCUUGACGGUACCGAAUCAGAAAGCCACGGCUAACUACGU